CAGUCGAACGCCCCGCAGGGGAGUGGCAGACGGGUGAGUAACGCGUGGGAACAUACCCUUUCCUGCGGAAUAGCUCCGGGAAACUGGAAUUAAUACCGCAUACACCCUACGGGGGAAAGAUUUAUCGGGGAAGGAUUGGCCCGCGUUGGAUUAGCUAGUUGGUGGGGUAAAGGCCUACCAAGGCGACGAUCGAUAGCUGGUCUGAGAGGAUGAUCACCAACUUUGGGACUGAGACACGGACCAUUCAACUCCGUUUGGCAGCGGUGUUAUAUAUUGUACAAAGAGAGCAACCCACUCCC
rnacentral:rRNA from 1 species